CCCCCCAGCUCGCGUCGCGUUGCACGGGAGGUAUUGGCCUCCUUCACCCGCCGGAUUCGACCAUCCCCUUUUGUUCACCUUCGCCACCCGAGGCCGUUCACCACCGCCACCAGUUCCCGUUCAACACCGCCCGCACAAUCUUGCGUGUCAACGACGCCCCUGUCUACCCCACGCGAAGCUUCAACAGAGAAGGAAAAUAGAGUUGGGAGUGGACGACCUCGAGCUUGUCCAGCCCACCUUCGUUGUGCUUCUCUAGUGCGUUCAUAAUUGUGUAUCGCACAGUACAUGUAUUACUACUGGGAAUGUUCAGAAAUCAAAACUCAAAGAAGUAUUGACAGCACAACUACUGUAUAUUCAAGGAGUCGGGUUUUGCUCCUGCAUCACCUCGUCUCCUCCGUUCGACAAAAGCCUCAGAUAAGUUCACACUAUGGUUUCACUCUUUCAUAUAAUUCUUGAGUCCAGACUCCUUCGCUUUUUGUUCCAUAGAAAUUAAAGAAACCUGUAGAAGUUUGGGGUAUAAAAUUCUAUAAGUUCAAAACCGGGAAACUAGUAAGUUCAGACAAAAUUGAAACUGUCAAAGAACAUGAGAGUUUUUGUCAAAGAACCGAGGCUUCCCCACGCCAGUACAAACUUUUUAAAUGUGUGGAUUUUGUCAAAGCAAAAACUGAAUGGGUGGCAAGAUGAAUGUAGUUGUUAUUAAAAGUUUCUUUUUGAACUUCUCCUCUUAAUAUACAUGAACUUGAUUAUCCUUUUAACCGGUUAAAUAUACAGGGAUGGCAAGACGACUAUAGUUGUUAUAGCAAAAAAGUGCAUUUUUCUUAAAAAAGUUUCUGUUUGAACUUCUCCAGUUAAUAUACAUGAACUCAAUUAUCUUUUUAACAUGUACUCACAUGAGCUCGUUUGGAUUUUUGUGUAUACUUGUAACACAAUCCAUUCAGAUCUCGAGAGACCGUAAGUUUAGUCGGCCUUGGCAUCACGAACGGGUUCAGUUCGAUCUCGCACAGUGGGCAGGUCCCCGAUGGUGUGUCCGUCGGUUCUACUCGCACAAGUGGACGUCAGAUCGCGCAAGUGGGAAGGUCCCCGAUGCUCGAUCCAGGCGGUGCUAGCUAAUGCUGGCUGGAACUAGGAUGCAAAAGGGUUGACGGAUCCAUGCCGCACAAGCACUGCGCCAUACUCAGUCCAACCCCGUGGCUUCAGGGUGGCCGAGUUCGUCGCGACCAUCAAUUCGGAGACCUGCGUCACUGCCCGUGUCGCUACCAUGGCCACCUGCAUCACUGCGUGAUCCGUCAACAGCCUUCCUGCACAAGGAAAAGCAACAGGAGUAGAGGCGUCUGAGAUGCUCUGUUCUAGCGAGGUGGCUGAUUAUGUUUCUCAGUUUGUAAUACUUUGGCCGCAGUGUACUUAUGUAUCUUUUUCUGGCCGGAGCACGACCAGAACUUAUGUCAGUACGAACUUUGAU